GAGAAGAGAAGAGAGAAAGAAAAACUACGCCGUUUUUCUUUUCUUUUCUUUUUCUUUGUUUAUUUAUU
rnacentral:ribozyme from 14 species